rnacentral:snRNA from 1 species
UUUUCAAUUAUUGUGUUUUA